GAUUGAAUCAGUGUUAAGCUCUCUGAGAUGGUAUCAGAUUUUUUUCAUUGUUAACCGCUUCCUGUUAAUCCGAUUGUCUUCUUCCGCGAUCGUAUUCUUUUCGCGAUUUGCGUCUGGAUCUUGCGUAAUUUGACGGAUUCCAGUUCACCGAAUCCGUCUAGUCUUGUGCUCACAUUCUCUCCAGUUCACGUGGAUUCAAGAUCGGUUGUCGUUCGUGUGCAGCGCGUGGAUUUCUCGCCAAUUGAUUGCAAUAUGCAAUUGCAACUGGUUUGAUUUUUUUAAUUAAUUCAAUCUGCGUGAGUAUGUGUGCGAUUGCAAUCUGCGUGCGUUUUUAUUUUAAUCUGCGUGUGAUUACAAUCGGUUUUGCAUUUGUUUGCGUUUACAGAUUUACCUAUUUGUUUGCGUGUGAUUUGUCUGUGUGAUCUGCGUGAAUAUUCAAUAUUUAAUGUUCGAUUUACCGAUUUACAGAUCGAUUUGCGUUUCCGUAUUUGAUUUGGUUUGCUUCGCGUGAUUUGAUUUAUCGAUUUUCGAUUUCAUUUCUGUGAUUCAAUCUGAUUUCCUUGUGAUUAGAUUUGAUUUAUCGAUUGAUUUUCGAUUUCUCAGCUUACAAUUUCCGAUUGUUUUUCAUCUUCGAUUUCGUUUCGGGGUUUUGAUUUCUUUAUUUUGAUUUCGUUUUCGAGUUAUUUCGAUUUUCGUUUCCGUGUGAUCGAUCUGAUUUGCGUGCGUCGGGAUUGAUUUGCGUUACAGAGUGUAUUGAAGUUACUGAAAUUCUGGAGAAAUAGGCUCAAGAUCAGGAGAAAGAAGAUGAGGAAUUGAUGAUCCUUUUGUUAUUCAUUCAUCUGUUUAUAUACACAUGUUUGAUCUAUUAUCAUUAUUAGUUAUACAACAGAUUCAUUUAUAUCUAAUUAACUAUCUGUUACAACAGAGUGUUUUCUGUUUACAGAUUGAGUUAGAGUUUUUUUUCUUCUUCUUUUAUUUCUGAAAAUUACAGGUCAUGUGCUAUUUUUUUUCCUCUUGCGAUUACAGGUCAGUGAAUUCAUUUUUUUUUUU
rnacentral:lncRNA from 1 species